GAUGAAGAACGUAGCGAAAUGCGAUACGUAAUGUGAAUUACAGAAUUCAGUGAAUCAUCGAAUCUUUGAACGCACAUUGCGCCUGCCAGCACUCUGGCAGGCAUGCCUGUUCGAGCGUCAUUUCAACCAUCAAGCCCUAGGCUUGCGUUGGAGCCCUGCGGCUGCCGCAGGCCCCUAAAAGCAGUGGCGGGCUCGCUAUCACACCGAGUGCAGUAGAUUACUCUUCGCUCAGGGCGUGUGGCGGGUUCCAGCCGUGAAACCCCCUACUUCUCAAGGUUGACCUCGGAUCAGGUAGGAAUACCCGCUGAACUUAAGCAUAUCAAUAAGCGAGGA
rnacentral:misc_RNA from 1 species